rnacentral:tRNA from 1 species
GCCCAUGUAGCUCAGCUGGAUAGAGCGCCCUUUUCAUAAAGGGGAUGUCGCAGGUUCGAAUCCUGCCAUGGUUC